GAUGAACGCUGGCGGCGUGCCUAAUACAUGCAAGUCGAGCGAACAGAUGAAGAGCUUGCUCCUCUUACGUUAGCGGCGGACGGGUGAGUAACACGUAGAUAACCUACCUAUAAGACUGGGAUAACUUCGGGAAACCGGAGCUAAUACCGGAUAAUAUAUUGAACGUCAUGGUUCAAUAGUGAAAGACGGUUUUGCUGUCACUUAUAGAUGGAUCCGCGCCGCAUUAGCUAGUUGGUAAGGUAACGGCUUACCAAGGCAACGAUGCGUAGCCGACCUGAGAGGGUGAUCAGGCAGACUGGAAACGAGACACGGUCCAUACUCCUACGGGAGGCAGCAGUGGGGAAUAUUGGCCAAUGGGCGAAAGCCUGAUCCAGCCAUGCCGCGUGUGUGAAGAAGGUCUUCGGAUUGUAAAGCACUUUAAGUAGGGAGGAAGAACAGUAAGUUAAAACCUUGCUGUUUUGACGUUACCAACAGAAUAAGCACGGGCUAGCUUCGUG
rnacentral:rRNA from 1 species